AGAGUUUGAUCCUGGCUCAGAACGAACGCUGGCGGCGUGGAUAAGACAUGCAAGUCGAGCGCUGAUUACGAGGUAGCAAUAUUUCGUGGUCGGAGCGGCGCAAGGGUGCGUAACACGUGGGUAAUCUGCCAUGAAGUUUGGAAUAACUUGCUGAAAGGCGAGCUAAUGCCGAAUGUGACAACCGGGAGGCAUCUUUUGGUUGUUAAAGCUGGGGACCGUAAGGCCUGACGCUUCAUGAUGAGCCCGCGGCCUAUCAGCUAGUUGGUGAGGUAACGGCUCACCAAGGCUAAGACGGGUAGCUGGUCUGAGAGGACGACCAGCCACACUGGAACUGAGACACGGUCCAGACACCUACGGGUGGCAGCAGUCGAGAAUUUUUCACAAUGGGCGCAAGCCUGAUGGAGCGACGCCGCGUGGGGGAUGAAUGGCUUCGGCCCGUAAACCCCUGUCAUUUGCGAUCAAACCUCGUUAUUUAAAAGAUGACGAGCUGAUAGUAGCGAAAGAGGAAGGGACGGCUAACUCUGUGCCAGCAGCCGCGGUAAUACAGAGGUCCCAAGCGUUGUUCGGAUUCACUGGGCGUAAAGGGUGCGUAGGUGGCGAGGUAAGUCGGAUGUGAAAGCUCGGAGCUCAACUCCGAAAUGGCAUUGGAAACUACCUUGCUCGAGGGUUGGAGGGGGGACUGGAAUGCUUGGUGUAGCAGUGAAAUGCGUAGAUAUCAAGCGGAACACCAGUGGCGAAGGCGAGUCCCUGGACAACUCCUGACACUGAGGCACGAAAGCUAGGGGAGCAAACAGGAUUAGAUACCCUAGUAGUCC
rnacentral:rRNA from 1 species